GACGAACGCUGGCGGCGCGCCUAACACAUGCAAGUCGAGCGAUGAAAUUUUAACCGAUCUCUUCGGAGAGAAGAUAAAAUGGAUUAGCGGCGGACGGGUGAGUAACACGUGAGAAACCUGCCUUUCACAAGGGGAUAGCCUCGGGAAACCGGGAUUAAUACCCUAUGACACAUUUCCUUCGCAUGGAAGAAAUGUUAAAACUCCGGUGGUGAAAGAUGGUCUCGCGCCUGAUUAGCUAGUUGGUGGGGUAACGGCCCACCAAGGCCAUGAUCAGUAACCGGCAUGAGAGGGUGAACGGUCACAUUGGAACUGAGACACGGUCCAAACUCCUACGGGAGGCAGCAGUGGGGAAUAUUGCACAAUGGAGGAAACUCUGAUGCAGCGACGCCGCGUGAGCGACGAAGGCUUUCGAGUCGUAAAGCUCUGUCCUAUGGGAAGAUAAUGACGGUACCAUAGGAGGAAGCCCCGGCUAACUACGUG
rnacentral:rRNA from 1 species